rnacentral:misc_RNA from 1 species
UCCGGCUUAUCACCGGCAGUCCCACUAGAGUGCCCAACUAAAUGAUGGCAACUAAUGGCGAGGGUUGCGCUCGUUGCGGGACUUAACCCAACAUCUCACGACACGAGCUGACGACAGCCAUGCAGCACCUGUGCACGGACUCCGAAGAGGAACCGAUGUUUCCACCGGCUUUCCCGUGCAUGUCAAGCCUAGGUGAGGUUCUUCGCGUUGCAUCGAAUUAAACCACACGCUCCGCUGCUUGUGCGGACCCCCGUCAAUUCCUUUGAGUUUCACCGUUGCCGGCGUACUCCCCAGGUGGAUUACUUAUCGCUUUCGCUAAGCCGCGUACUGUAUAUCGCACACAGCGAGUAAUCAACGUUUACAGUGUGGACUAC